GGGCCUGGGAACGUGGCUGGUUGGAGGAGGUAGAUCACCCUUUCUGCGGUGGACGAUUUCGUCGGUGGUAGCAGGUACCACGAGUGGAUGAAAUCAGAGGAGCUGCAGCGUUUGACAGCCUCGGAGCCGCUGACCCUGGAGCAGGAGUAUGCCAUGCAGCGCAGCUGGCAGGAAGAUGCAGACAAGUGUACCUUCAUUGUGCUGGAUGCCGAGAAGUGGCAGGCCCAGCCAGGCGCCACCGAAGAGAGCUGCAUGGUGGGAGAUGUGAACCUCUUCCUCACAGAUCUAGAAGACCCCACCUUGGGGGAGAUCGAGGUCAUGAUUGCAGAAUGGUAACGAUAGUAGCAACUUCAGAGUUGUUGAGAAUUAAAUGAGAUGGUGUCUGCCAAGUGCCCGCACUGAAGCCUGGCACAUGGCGUCAGCGCCGCUCCUGUUGUCUCUCCUAGAGCCCAGCUGCAGGGGUAAGGGCCUUGGCACUGAGGCCGUUCUCGCGAUGCUGUCUUACGGUAAGAAAGUGUGAGCAGACAAUGCGGGAAGUGGCCAGGCCCC
rnacentral:sRNA from 1 species